AACGCGAAGAACCUUACCAAGUCUUGACAUCCUUUUGACCGGUCGGUAAUGCGACCUUCUCUUCGGAGCAAAAGUGACAGGUGGUGCAUGGUUGUCGUCAGCUCGUGUCGUGAGAUGUUGGGUUAAGUCCCGCAACGAGCGCAACCCUUAUCUUUAGUAGCCAGCAUUUAAGGUGGGCACUCUAGAGAGACUGCCAGGGAUAACCUGGAGGAAGGUGGGGAUGACGUCAAAUCAUCAUGCCCCUUAUGACUUGGGCUACACACGUGCUACAAUGGCGUAAACAAAGAGAAGCGAGACUGUGAAGUGGAGCAAAUCUCAAAAAUAACGUCUCAGUUCGGAUUGUAGUCUGCAACUCGACUACAUGAAGCUGGAAUCGCUAGUAAUCGCGAAUCAGAAUGUCGCGGUGAAUACGUUCCCGGGUCUUGUACACACCG
rnacentral:rRNA from 1 species